rnacentral:rRNA from 1 species
AGAUUAAGCCAUGCAUGUCUAAGUACAGGCUUUGGUACAGCGAAACCGCGAAUGGCUCAUUAAAUCAGCUAUAAUUUAUUAGAUUCUAAACUUUACUUGGAUAACUGUGGGAAUUCUAGAGCUAAUACAUGCACAAAAGCUCUGACUUUCGGGAAGGGGUGCAGUUAUUAGACCAAAACCAUCCGAGCUCUCGGGCUCGAGCAACUGUUUGGUGACUCUGGAUAACUAUAAGCGGAUCGCAUGGCUUUGUGCCAGCGACAUAUCUUUCAAGUGUCUGACCUAUCAACUGACGAUGGUACGUGAUAUGCCUACCAUGGUGAUAACGGGUAACGGAGAAUAAGGGUUCGACUCCGGAGAGGGAGCCUGAGAAAUGGCUACCACAUCCAAGGAUGGCAGCAGGCGCGCAAAUUACCCACUCUCAGUACGAGGAGGUAGUGACGAAAAAUAACAAUGCGGGACUCUUUAUGAGGCCUCGCAAUUGGAAUGAGCGCACUUUAAAACGUUCGACGAGGAUCUAUUGGAGGGCAAGUCUGGUGCCAGCAGCCGCGGUAAUUCCAGCUCCAAUAGCGUAUAUUAAAGUUGUUGCAGUUAAAAAGCUCGUAGUUGGAUCUGGGGCUCGGGUCAACGGUUUGCUGCCAUGCAGCUACUGCUGUACUCUCGACCCUUACUAGCCGGUGCGUUUGCUGUUUGUGCUCUUCACUGAGUGCCUGCAAAGCCUGGCAUGUUUACUUUGAAAAAAUUAGAGUGCUCAAAGCAGGCGCUAGCGCCUGAAUAGUGUUGCAUGGAAUAAUGGAAUAAGACCUCGGUUCUAUUUUGUUGGUUUUCGGAAUUAGAGGUAAUGAUUAAGAGGGACGGUCGGGGGCACUCGUAUUUCGGUGUUAGAGGUGAAAUUCUUGGAUCGCUGAAAGACGGACAAACGCGAAAGCAUUUGCCAAG